GUGAAAUUGAACUCGCUGUGAAGAUGCAGUGUACCCGCGGCAAGACGGAAAGACCCCGUGAACCUUUACUAUAGCUUGACACUGAACAUUGAGCCUUGAUGUGUAGGAUAGGUGGGAGGCUUUGAAGUGUGGACGCCAGUCUGCAUGGAGCCGACCUUGAAAUACCACCCUUUAAUGUUUGAUGUUCUAACGUGGACCCGUUACCCGGGUUGCGGACAGUGUCUGGUGGGUAGUUUGACUGGGGCGGUCUCCUCCUAAAGAGUAACGGAGGA
rnacentral:rRNA from 1 species